CCAAGGAGUCUAACAUGUGUGCGAGUCGUCAGGUCGUCCCAAACAGACGAAACCUGAACGGCGCAAUGAAAGUGAAGGCCGACCGUCUCGCUUCCCCGUCUCUCCCUCGUGGAGGUCGGGGGGCAGCGGUGAGCCAAGGCGGGAUCCGAGAAACACAGCCGGGGUGUACUGAAAAUCGACUCGGCGCUCUAUUCUUUUCUUUUUUUCCGUUUCUUCCCUCCCUCACGGGAGUGGAAGAGCGGGGGGAGGAUCGAAGGCGUCGGGUGAGCUAACAAAAAUUACGCUCGCACCCCGGUCGGCGCACCGCCGGCCCGUCUCCUUGCCGCAACGUCGGUGAGGCGGAGCCAGAGCGUACACGUUGGGACCCGAAAGAUGGUGAACUAUGCUUGGGCAGGACGAAGCCAGAGGAAACUCUGGUGGAGGUCCGUAGCGAUUCUGACGUGCAAAUCGAUCGUCGGACCUGAGUAUAGGGGCGAAAGACUAAUCGAACCGUC
rnacentral:rRNA from 1 species